CAAGAACACUGGGGUGGGUAGACAUUCCCUUCUCCAGGAUAUCUUCUCAACCCAGGGACUGAACCAAGGUCUCCUGCAUUGCAGACAGGUUCUUUACCAUCUGAGCCACACGGAAGCCCAAAGGCUCAAUAAUGUUAGGUAAAUAAUGCUAAGUCCUUAAUAUGGGUUAAUUUAUUAAUCUAAACAAUAGGCUAAGCAACAUUAAUCUGUCUCAUUUUGUAGAUGAGGAACAAGGAUUAGAGCAACUAAUCAAUUUCAUCAAGAUCACAGAGAUCUUAAGUGACAGAAUCAAGACUCAUAUGACCUUCUUGACAAUGAAGCCAGCACGAUGUCUCCUCUCAAGGGAAAAUAAACUGAACAGAAAAGUCCUGUAGAAUCUACCUGCCCCAAUGAAGAUAUUGAGUUGCUUUUACAACUUUAAUUACUAAAAAAGAAAAAAAUUCAACACUGAGAAAUGUUACAAUUUUUUAAAAAAAUGAUUGGUUCUUAUGAGAUGAAAUGAUGCUGCAUAACCAAGACCCAAAAUUUGAUUCUCAUCUAUGGUGACAGAACAGAUCUGGUCCAUGGGCCACAGUUUGCUGACCCCUGCUCUAGCUGUUUAGCAGGUAGGCCAGUGACAUCCAAUAGGAAUAAGAUGCGAGGCACAAAGGUGAGCUACAUUUAUAGUUUUAAAUGUUCUGGUAGACAUGUUUUAAAAAGUAAAAAAGCAUCAGGUG
rnacentral:lncRNA from 1 species